rnacentral:rRNA from 1 species
CAGUCGCCGCGGGAAUACGUAGGUGGCAAGCGUUGUCCGGAAUUAUUGGGCGUAAAGGGCUCGCAGGCGGUUUCUUAAGUCUGAUGUGAAAGCCCCCGGCUCAACCGGGGAGGGUCAUUGGAAACUGGGAAAUUUGAGUGCAGAGGAGGAGAGUGGAAUUCCACGUGUAGCGGUGAAAUGCGUAGAGAUGUGGAGGAACACCAGUGGCGAAGGCGACUCUCUGGUCUGUAACUGACGCUGAGGAGCGAAAGCGUGGGGAGCGAACAGGAUUAGAUACCCGGGUAGUCCCUGUCUCUUAUAC